rnacentral:rRNA from 1 species
GACGAACCGUACGAACGUUAUUCGGAAUCACUGGGCUUAAAGGGUGCGUAGGCUGCGCAGCAAGUUGGGUGUGAAAUCCCUCGGCUUAACCGAGGAACUGCGCCCAAAACUGCUGUGCUCGAGGGAGAUAGAGGUGAGCGGAACUUAGGGUGGAGCGGUGAAAUGCGUUGACAUCCUAAGGAACACCGGUGGCGAAAGCGGCUCACUGGAUCUCUUCUGACGCUGAGGCACGAAAGCUAGGGUAGCGAACGGG